rnacentral:rRNA from 1 species
UAGGGAAUCUUCGGCAAUGGACGAAAGUCUGACCGAGCAACGCCGCGUGAGUGAAGAAGGUUUUCGGAUCGUAAAACUCUGUUGGUAGAGAAGAACGUUGGUGAGAGUGGAAAGCUCAUCAAGUGACGGUAACUACCCAGAAAGGGACGGCUAACUACGUGCCAGCAGCCGCGGUAAUACGUAGGUCCCGAGCGUUGUCCGGAUUUAUUGGGCGUAAAGCGAGCGCAGGUGGUUUAUUAAGUCUGGUGUAAAAGGCAGUGGCUCAACCAUUGUAUGCAUUGGAAACUGGUAGACUUGAGUGCAGGAGAGGAGAGUGGAAUUCCAUGUGUAGCGGUGAAAUGCGUAGAUAUAUGGAGGAACACCGGUGGCGAAAAGCGGCUCUCUGGCCUGUAACUGACACUGAGGCUCGAAAGCGUGGGGAGCAAACAGGAUUAGAUACCCUGGUAGUCCACGCCGUAAAC